GGAGUUGUAAGCUGGAGGGACGUCUGCCUAAGUCGUCCGGGCUCAAUUUGCUUGGAACAGCAAGUCACUGAGGGUGAGAACCCCGUCCGUGGCCCGGUGAUUGGCUUUGCAGUGCGGCGGCCCCAAUGAGUCGGGUUGUUUGGGAAUGCAGCUCAAAAUGGGUGGUAAAUUUCAUCUAAAGCUAAAUAUUGGCAAGAGACCGAUAGCGAACAAGUAGAGUGAUCGAAAGAUGAAAAGCACUUUGAAAAGAGAGUGAAACAGUGCGUGAAAUUGUUGAAAGGGAAGCGCUUGGCAUCAGCCCAUGACUUUUGUCCAUCAUCCUGGCUUCUGCCUGGUGCAAUGGUCAAGAGUUGGGCCAGCGUCGGCUCCUUCCGCCCUAGAAAGGCCUUGGGGACGUGGCUCCAUCUGGAGCGUUAUAACCCUUGGCGGCAUGGGGCGAGAUGGGGCCGAGGUCCGCGGCAUAGCCCAGGACGCUGGCGUAAUGGUCCCAAGCGACCCGUCUUGAAACACGGACCAAGGAGUCUAACAUCUAUGCGAGUGUUUGGGGUGUCAAGCCCGG
rnacentral:rRNA from 1 species